UACAGAGGUCUCAAGCGUUGUUCGGAUUCAUUGGGCGUAAAGGGUGCGUAGGCGGCGUGGUAAGUCGGGUGUGAAAUCUCGGGGCUUAACUCCGAAACUGCAUUCGAUACUGCCGUGCUUGAGGACUGGAGAGGAGACUGGAAUUUACGGUGUAGCGGUGAAAUGCGUAGAUAUCGUAAGGAAGACCAGUGGCGAAGGCGGGUCUCUGGACAGUUCCUGACGCUGAGGCGCGAAAGCUAGGGGAGCAAACGGG
rnacentral:rRNA from 1 species